rnacentral:rRNA from 1 species
ACUCAAAUGAAUUGACGGGGGCCCGCACAAGCAGUGGAGCAUGUGGUUUAAUUCGAAGCAACGCGAAGAACCUUACCAGGGCUUGACAUCCCCCUGACAUCCCUAGAGAUAGGGAGUCCCUUUUGGGCAGGGGAGACAGGUGGUGCAUGGUUGUCGUCAGCUCGUGUCGUGAGAUGUUGGGUUAAGUCCCGCAACGAGCGCAACCCUUAGAUUGUGUUACCAGCACGUGAAGGUGGGGACUCACAAUCGACUGCCGGUGACAAACCGGAGGAAGGCGGGGAUGACGUCAAAUCAUCAUGCCCCUUAUGUCCUGGGCUACACACGUGCUACAAUGGGCGCUACAACGGGAAGCGAAGGAGUGAUCCGGAGCGAACCCCUGAAAAGCGUUCGUAGUUCGGAUUGCAGGCUGCAACUCGCCUGCAUGAAGCCGGAAUUGCUAGUAAUCGCGGAUCAGCAUGCCGCGGUGAAUACGUUCCCGGGCCUUGUACACACCGCCCGU